GAUGAACGCUGGCGGCGUGCUUAACACAUGCAAGUCGAACGAUGAAGCUGGAGCUUGCUCCGGUGGAUUAGUGGCGAACGGGUGAGUAACACGUGAGCAAUCUGCCCUUGACUCUGGGAUAACUGCGGGAAACUGUAGCUAAUACCGGAUACUUUCACUGGAAGGCAUCUUCUGGUGACGAAAGAAUUUCGGUCAAGGAUGAGCUCGCGGCCUAUCAGCUUGUUGGUGGGGUAACGGCUCACCAAGGCGACGACGGGUAGCCGGCCUGAGAGGGGGACCGGACCCACUGGGGGUGCGACACGGCCGAGACUGCUACGGGAGACAGCAGUGGGGAAUAUUGCACAAAGGGCGCAAGCCUGAUGCAGCAACGCCGCGUGAGGGAUGAAGGCCUUCGGUUUGUAAACCUCUUUUAGCAGGGAACAAGCGAAAGUGACGGUACCUGCAGAAAAAGGACCGGCUAACUACGUGCCAGCCGCCGCAGUAA
rnacentral:rRNA from 1 species